CAGUAGCCGCGGGAAUACGUAGGUGGCAAGCGUUGUCCGGAAUUAUUGGGCGUAAAGGGCUCGCAGGCGGUUUCUUAAGUCUGAUGUGAAAGCCCCCGGCUCAACCGGGGAGGGUCAUUGGAAACUGGGAGACUUGAGUGCAGAAGAGGAGAGUGGAAUUCCACGUGUAGCGGUGAAAUGCGUAGAGAUGUGGAGGAACACCAGUGGCGAAGGCGACUCUCUGGUCUGUAACUGACGCUGAGGAGCGAAAGCGUGGGGAGCGAACAGGAUUAGAUACCCCAGUAGUCCCUGUCUCUUAUAC
rnacentral:rRNA from 1 species